rnacentral:rRNA from 1 species
AGCAGUAGCCGCGGUAAUACGGAGGGCGCGAGCGUUACCCGGAUUUACUGGGCGUAAAGGGCGUGUAGGCGGCCUGGGGCGUCCCAUGUGAAAGGCCACGGCUCAACCGUGGAGGAGCGUGGGAUACGCUCAGGCUAGAGGGUGGGAGAGGGUGGUGGAAUUCCCGGAGUAGCGGUGAAAUGCGCAGAUACCGGGAGGAACGCCGAUGGCGAAGGCAGCCACCUGGUCCACUUCUGACGCUGAGGCGCGAAAGCGUGGGGAGCAAACCGGAUUAGAUACCCCAGUAGUCCCUGUCUCUUAUAC